GACGAACGCUGGCGGCGUGCUUAACACAUGCAAGUCGAACGGAAAGGCCCUGCUUUUGUGGGGUGCUCGAGUGGCGAACGGGUGAGUAACACGUGAGUAACCUGCCCUUGACUUUGGGAUAACUUCAGGAAACUGGGGCUAAUACCGGAUAGGAGCUCCUGCUGCAUGGUGGGGGUUGGAAAGUUUCGGCGGUUGGGGAUGGACUCGCGGCUUAUCAGCUUGUUGGUGGGGUAGUGGCUUACCAAGGCUUUGACGGGUAGCCGGCCUGAGAGGGUGACCGGCCACAUUGGGACUGAGAUACGGCCCAGACUCCUACGGGAGGCAGCAGUGGGGAAUAUUGCACAAUGGGCGGAAGCCUGAUGCAGCAACGCCGCGUGCGGGAUGACGGCCUUCGGGUUGUAAACCGCUUUCGCCUGUGACGAAGCGUGAGUGACGGUAAUGGGUAAAGAAGCACCGGCUAACUACGUGCCAGCAGCCGCGGUGAUACGUAGGGUGCGAGCGUUGUCCGGAUUUAUUGGGCGUAAAGGGCUCGUAGGUGGUUGAUCGCGUCGGAAGUGUAAUCUUGGGGCUUAACCCUGAGCGUGCUUUCGAUACGGGUUGACUUGAGGAAGGUAGGGGAGAAUGGAAUUCCUGGUGGAGCGGUGGAAUGCGCAGAUAUCAGGAGGAACACCAGUGGCGAAGGCGGUUCUCUGGGCCUUUCCUGACGCUGAGGAGCGAAAGCGUGGGGAGCGAACAGGCUUAGAUACCCUGGUAGUCCACGCUGUAAACGGUGGGUACUAGGUGUGGGGUCCAUUCCACGGGUUCCGUGCCGUAGCUAACGCUUUAAGUACCCCGCCUGGGGAGUACGGCCGCAAGGCUAAAACUCAAAGGAAUUGACGGGGCCCCGCACAAGCGGCGGAGCAUGCGGAUUAAUUCGAUGCAACGCGUAGAACCUUACCUGGGUUUGACAUGGAUCGGGAGUGCUCAGAGAUGGGUGUGCCUCUUUUGGGGUCGGUUCACAGGUGGUGCAUGCCUGUCGUCAGCUAGUGUCGUGAGAUGUUGGGUUAAGUCCCGCAACGAGCGCAACCCUUGUUCACUGUUGCCAGCACGUUAUGGUGGGGACUCAGUGGAGACCGCCGGGGUCAACUCGGAGGAAGGUGGGGAUGACGUCAAGUCCUCAUGCCCCUUAUGUCCAGGGCUUCACGCAUGCUACAAUGGCUGGUACAGAGAGUGGCGAGCCUGUGAGGGUGAGCGAAUCUCGGAAAGCCGGUCUCAGUUCGGAUUGGGGUCUGCAACUCGACCUCAUGAAGUCGGAGUCGCUGGUAAUCGCAGAUCAGCAACGCUGCGGUGAAUACGUUCCCGGGGCU
rnacentral:rRNA from 1 species